UCAAGCUACUAAGGGCAUACGGUGGAUGCCUAGGCGCCAAGAGCCGAAGAAGGACGCGGUAAGCUGCGAAAAGCCACGGGGAACUGCAAGCAAGUAUUGAUCCGUGGAUAUCCGAAUGGGGAAACCCGGCCAUCGUCAUGGAUGGUCACCCGCAAGGGAGGGAACCUGGGGAACUGAAACAUCUAAGUACCCGGAGGAAGAGAAAUCAAACGAGAUGCCCACAGUAGCGGCGAGCGAAGAGGGCAGAGCCCAAACCGAGAAGCUCCGGCUUUUCGGGGUUGAGGACCGGCAGAAUCGAAGUCAGGCCUAGUCGAAUUACCUGGAAAGGUAAGCGAGAGAGGGUAAAAGCCCCGUAGACGAAAGGCAGAGCAGAGAGGCCGAGAUCCAGAGUACCACGAAGCACGAGGAAUUUUGUGGGAAGCAGGGGGGACCACCCUCCAAGGCUAAAAACUACUUGGCGACCGAUAGCGCAUAGUACCGUGAGGGAAAGGUGAAAAGAACCCCGGGAGGGGAGUGAAAUAGUACCUGAAACCGUAUGUCUACAAGCAGUCGAAGCGAAAGCGACGGCGUGCCUAUUGAAGAAUGAACCAACGAGUUAUCUGCACUAGCGAGGUUAAGUGGAAGACACGGAGCCGCAGCGAAAGCGAGUCUUAAGAGGGCGCUAGUUAGUGUAGGUAGACCCGAAACCGCAGUGAUCUACCCAUGUCCAGGUUGAAGCGCAGGUAAAAUUGCGUGGAGGACCGAACCGGUGAGCGUUGAAAAGCUUUCGGAUGAGAUGUGGGUAGGGGUGAAAUUCCAAUCGAACGCGGAGAUAGCUGGUUCUCCCCGAAAUAGCUUUAGGGCUAGCCUGAGGUAGUAAGUAUAGGCGGUAGAGCACUGAUCGGGCUAGGGGCCGUAAAGGUUACCGAACCCUGUCAAACUCCGAAUGGAUAUACUGUAGAGCCUUGGAGUCAGACUACGAGUGAUAAGAUCCGUGGUCAAAAGGGAAACAGCCCAGACCACCAGCUAAGGUCCCCAAUGUCGUACUAAGUGGAAAAGGAUGUGGGGUUUCAUAAACAACCAGGAUGUUGGCUCAGAAGCAGCCACCAUUUAAAGAGUGCGUAAUAGCUCACUGGUCGAGAGACCCUGCGCCGAAGAUUCCCGGGGCUAAAGUACGAAACCGAAGCUGUGGCUGUAUACGUAAAGUAUACGGGGUAGGGGAGCGUUCCCAUAGGGUAGAAGUCGAACUGGAAGGUUCGGUGGACUUGUGGGAAGUGAGAAUGUUGGUAUGAGUAGCGAAAAGAAAGGUGAGAAUCCUUUCCACCGAAAGCAUAAGGAUUCCUGAGCAACGAUCGUCGUCUCAGGGUAAGUCGGGACCUAAUCCGAGGCAGAGAGCGUAGGAGAUGGACAACUGGUUGAUAUUCCAGUACCGGUAGUAAUUGUUUGAGCAAUGGAGUGACACAGAAGGGCAGGCAAGCAUGCGAAUGGAAGAGCAUGUGUAAGCGUGUAGGGUGGUGCAUAGGCAAAUCCGUGCACUGAAAGCCUGAGGCGUGAUGCGGAGUGAGCAGAGAUGCGAGCGAAGUUGUUGACCCCACACUGUCGAGAAAAGCUUCUAGUGAGAGAGCUACCGCCCGUACCGUAAACCGACACAGGUAUGCGGGGAGAGAAUCCUAAGGUGCGCGGGAGAACCCUCGUUAAGGAACUCGGCAAAAUGUACCCGUAACUUCGGGAUAAGGGUAGCCACUGUUGUGAAGUCCCAUGCGGAUGGAGCAUAGAGUGGUCGCAGAGAAGAGGCCCAAGCGACUGUUUACCAUAAACACAGGUGCCUGCUAAAGCGAAAGCUGACGUAUAGGUGCUGACACCUGCCCAGUGCCGGAAGGUUAAGGAAGGAUGUUCGGAGUAAUCCAAAGCAUUCGACUGAAGCCCCGGUGAACGGCGGCCGUAACUAUAACGGUCCUAAGGUAGCGAAAUUCCUUGUCGGGU
rnacentral:rRNA from 1 species